AUUGAACGCUGGCGGCAUGCCUUACGCAUGCAAGUCGAACGGCAGCACGGGAGCAAUCCUGGUGGCGAGUGGCGAACGGGUGAGUAAUAUAUCGGAACGUGCCCAGUCGUGGGGAUAACGUAGCGAAAGCUACGCUAAUACCGCAUACGAUCUAUGGAUGAAAGCGGGGGAUCGCAAGACCUCGCGCGAUUGGAGCGGCCGAUAUCAGAUUAGGUAGUUGGUGAGGUAAAGGCUCACCAAGCCGACGAUCUGUAGCUGGUCUGAGAGGACGACCAGCCACACUGGGACUGAGACACGGCCCAGACUCCUACGGGAGGCAGCAGUGGGGAAUUUUGGACAAUGGGCGCAAGCCUGAUCCAGCAAUGCCGCGUGCAGGAUGAAGGCCU
rnacentral:rRNA from 1 species